rnacentral:rRNA from 1 species
GACGAACGCUGGCGGCGUGCCUAAUACAUGCAAGUCGAACGCACAGUUUAUACCGUAGCUUGCUCCACCAUAGACUGUGAGUUGCGAACGGGUGAGUAACGCGUAGGUAACCUGCCUGGUAGCGGGGGAUAACUAUUGGAAACGAUAGCUAAUACCGCAUAAUAUUGAUUAUUGCAUGAUAAUUAAUUGAAAGGUGCAAUUGCACCACUACCAGAUGGACCUGCGUUGUAUUAGCUAGUAGGUGAGGUAACGGCUCACCUAGGCGACGAUACAUAGCCGACCUGAGAGGGUGAUCGGCCACACUGGGACUGAGACACGGCCCAGACUCCUACGGGAGGCAGCAGUAGGGAAUCUUCGGCAAUGGACGAAAGUCUGACCGAGCAACGCCGCGUGAGUGAAGAAGGGUUUCGGAUCGUAAAGCUCUGUUGUAAGAGAAGAACGGGUGUGAGAGUGGAAAGUUCACACUGUGACGGUAGCUUACCAGAAAGGGACGGCUAACUACGUG